GAUGAACGCUGGCGGCGUGCCUAAUACAUGCAAGUCGAGCGAACAGACGAUGAUCUUGCUGCUUUGACGUGAGCGGCGGGCGGGUGAGUAACGUGUGUAUAACCCACCUGUAAUACUGGUAUAAUUUGGGGAAACCGGAUCUAAUACCGGAGAAUAUAUUGCACCGCAUGGGGCAAUAGUGAAAGACGGCUGUGCGGUCACUUAUAGAUGGAUCCGCGCCGUAUGAGCUAGUUGUGAAGUUAAAGGCUUAGCAAGGCGACGAUGCGUAGCCGACCUGAGAGGGUGAUAGGCGACACUGGAGCUGAGACACGGACAAGAGUCCUACGGGAGGCAGCAGUAGGCAAUCUUCCGCAAUGGGCGAAAGCAUGACGGAGCAACGGCGAGUGAGUGAUGAAGGUCUUCGGAGCGUAAAACUCUGUUAUUAGGGAAGAACCAAUGUGUAAGUAACUAUGCCCGUAUUGACGGUAACUAAUAAGAAAGCAACGGCUAACUACGUG
rnacentral:rRNA from 1 species